AGACUCUGGUCGUCGUUACCGUU
rnacentral:siRNA from 1 species